AUUUUAUUAAUAUAAUCAAAGUAUAUUUAAUUUCCAAUUAAAAAGUUUAAAUAAUAAAUAAAAUA
rnacentral:tRNA from 1 species